GGGCCUGGGCGGCAGCCUACACAUGCAAGUCGAGCGGAAACGAGUUAUCUGAACCUUCGGGGAACGAUAACGGCGUCGAGCGGCGGACGGGUGAGUAAUGCCUAGGAAAUUGCCCUGAUGUGGGGGAUAACCAUUGGAAACGAUGGCUAAUACCGCAUGAUGCCUACGGGCCAAAGAGGGGGACCUUCGGGCCUCUCGCGUCAGGAUAUGCCUAGGUGGGAUUAGCUAGUUGGUGAGGUAAGGGCUCACCAAGGCGACGAUCCCUAGCUGGUCUGAGAGGAUGAUCAGCCACACUGGAACUGAGACACGGUCCAGACUCCUACGGGAGGCAGCAGUGGGGAAUAUUGCACAAUGGGCGCAAGCCUGAUGCAGCCAUGCCGCGUGUGUGAAGAAGGCCUUCGGGUUGUAAAGCACUUUCAGUCGUGAGGAAGGUAGUGUAGUUAAUAGCUGCAUUAUUUGACGUUAGCGACAGAAGAAGCACCGGCUAACUCCGUGCCAGCAGCCGCGGUAAUACGGAGGGUGCGAGCGUUAAUCGGAAUUACUGGGCGUAAAGCGCAUGCAGGUGGUUUGUUAAGUCAGAUGUGAAAGCCCGGGGCUCAACCUCGGAAUAGCAUUUGAAACUGGCAGACUAGAGUACUGUAGAGGGGGGUAGAAUUUCAGGUGUAGCGGUGAAAUGCGUAGAGAUCUGAAGGAAUACCGGUGGCGAAGGCGGCCCCCUGGACAGAUACUGACACUCAGAUGCGAAAGCGUGGGGAGCAAACAGGAUUAGAUACCCUGGUAGUCCACGCCGUAAACGAUGUCUACUUGGAGGUUGUGGCCUUGAGCCGUGGCUUUCGGAGCUAACGCGUUAAGUAGACCGCCUGGGGAGUACGGUCGCAAGAUUAAAACUCAAAUGAAUUGACGGGGGCCCGCACAAGCGGUGGAGCAUGUGGUUUAAUUCGAUGCAACGCGAAGAACCUUACCUACUCUUGACAUCCAGAGAACUUUCCAGAGAUGGAUUGGUGCCUUCGGGAACUCUGAGACAGGUGCUGCAUGGCUGUCGUCAGCUCGUGUUGUGAAAUGUUGGGUUAAGUCCCGCAACGAGCGCAACCCUUAUCCUUGUUUGCCAGCGAGUAAUGUCGGGAACUCCAGGGAGACUGCCGGUGAUAAACCGGAGGAAGGUGGGGACGACGUCAAGUCAUCAUGGCCCUUACGAGUAGGGCUACACACGUGCUACAAUGGCGCAUACAGAGGGCGGCCAACUUGCGAAAGUGAGCGAAUCCCAAAAAGUGCGUCGUAGUCCGGAUUGGAGUCUGCAACUCGACUCCAUGAAGUCGGAAUCGCUAGUAAUCGUGGAUCAGAAUGCCACGGUGAAUACGUUCCCGGGCCUUGUACACACCGCCCGUCACACCAUGGGAGUGGGCUGCAAAAGAAGUAGGUAGUUUAACCUUCGGGGGGACGCUUACCACUUUGUGUUCCAUGGG
rnacentral:rRNA from 1 species